AUUCUGUUGAAUAUUUUACCUAAGACAGUAGGAGUUCAUAAAGAACUUAAAACAACAUCCUACCGAGGCUAAAAUGGACUUGAACGUUAACGCAUUCAAGCACUUUUUGCCGUGGGUAAAAAGUGUUUUUUUAAUUUAAGU
rfam:Staphylococcus pseudintermedius strain 063228, complete genome.